rnacentral:rRNA from 1 species
AGAAUCAACGCUGGCGGCGUGCCUCAGACAUGCAAGUCGAACGCGAAAGUCCCCUUCGGGGGGCAAGUAGAGUGGCGCACGGGUGAGUAACACGUAGGUAAUCUACCUUUGGAUGGGGAAUAACAACCGGAAACGGUUGCUAAUACCGCAUAAUGCAGCGGCACCUAAUGGUGACAGUUGUUAAAGCGGGGGAUCGAAAGACCUCGCGUCUGAAGAGGAGCCUGCGGCGGAUUAGCUAGUUGGUAAGGUAACGGCUUACCAAGGCAACGAUCCGUA